AUUGAACGCUGGCGGCAUGCCUUACACAUGCAAGUCGAACGGCAGCACGGGUGCUUGCACCUGGUGGCGAGUGGCGAACGGGUUAGUAAUACAUCGGAACAUGUCCUGUAGUGGGGGAUAGCCCGGCGAAAGCCGGAUUAAUACCGCAUACGAUCUACGGAUGAAAGCGGGGGACCUUCGGGCCUCGCGCUAUAGGGUUGGCCGAUGGCUGAUUAGCUAGUUGGUGGGGUAAAGGCCUACCAAGGCGACGAUCAGUAGCUGGUCUGAGAGGACGACCAGCCACACUGGGACUGAGACACGGCCCAGACUCCUACGGGAGGCAGCAGUGGGGAAUUUUGGACAAUGGGCGAAAGCCUGAUCCAGCAAUACCGCGUGUGUGAAGAAGGCCUUCGGGUUGUAAAGCACUUUUGUCCGGAAAGAAAUCCUUGGCCCUAAUACGGUCGGGGGAUGACGGUACCGGAAGAAUAAGCACCGGCUAACUACGUG
rnacentral:rRNA from 1 species